rnacentral:rRNA from 1 species
UAGGGAAUCUUCGGCAAUGGGGGCAACCCUGACCGAGCAACGCCGCGUGAGUGAAGAAGGUUUUCGGAUCGUAAAGCUCUGUUGUAAGAGAAGAACGUGUGUGAGAGUGGAAAGUUCACACAGUGACGGUAACUUACCAGAAAGGGACGGCUAACUACGUGCCAGCAGCCGCGGUAAUACGUAGGUCCCGAGCGUUGUCCGGAUUUAUUGGGCGUAAAGGGAGCGCAGGCGGUUUAAUAAGUCUGAAGUUAAAGGCAGUGGCUUAACCAUUGUUCGCUUUGGAAACUGUUAAACUUGAGUGCAGAAGGGGAGAGUGGAAUUCCAUGUGUGGCGGUGAAAUGCGUAGAUAUAUGGAGGAACACCGGUGGCGAAAGCGGCUCUCUGGUCUGUAACUGACGCUGAGGCUCGAAAGCGUGGGGAGCAAACAGG